GGGUUGUGAGGUUAAGCGACUAAGCGUACACGGUGGAUGCCCUGGCAGUCAGAGGCGAUGAAGGACGUGCUAAUCUGCGAUAAGCGUCGGUAAGGUGAUAUGAACCGUUAUAACCGGCGAUUUCCGAAUGGGGAAACCCAGUGUGUUUCGACACACUAUCAUUAACUGAAUCCAUAGGUUAAUGAGGCGAACCGGGGGAACUGAAACAUCUAAGUACCCCGAGGAAAAGAAAUCAACCGAGAUUCCCCCAGUAGCGGCGAGCGAACGGGGAGCAGCCCAGAGCCUGAAUCAGUAUGUGUGUUAGUGGAAGCGUCUGGAAAGGCGCGCGAUACAGGGUGACAGCCCCGUACACAAAAAUGCACAUAUUAUGAGCUCGAUGAGUAGGGCGGGACACGUGGUAUCCUGUCUGAAUAUGGGGGGACCAUCCUCCAAGGCUAAAUACUCCUGACUGACCGAUAGUGAACCAGUACCGUGAGGGAAAGGCGAAAAGAACCCCGGCGAGGGGAGUGAAAAAGAACCUGAAACCGUGUACGUACAAGCAGUGGGAGCACGCUUAGGCGUGUGACUGCGUACCUUUUGUAUAAUGGGUCAGCGACUUAUAUUCUGUAGCAAGGUUAACCGAAUAGGGGAGCCGAAGGGAAACCGAGUCUUAACUGGGCGUUAAGUUGCAGGGUAUAGACCCGAAACCCGGUGAUCUAGCCAUGGGCAGGUUGAAGGUUGGGUAACACUAACUGGAGGACCGAACCGACUAAUGUUGAAAAAUUAGCGGAUGACUUGUGGCUGGGGGUGAAAGGCCAAUCAAACCGGGAGAUAGCUGGUUCUCCCCGAAAGCUAUUUAGGUAGCGCCUCGUGAAUUCAUCUCCGGGGGUAGAGCACUGUUUCGGCAAGGGGGUCAUCCCGACUUACCAACCCGAUGCAAACUGCGAAUACCGGAGAAUGUUAUCACGGGAGACACACGGCGGGUGCUAACGUCCGUCGUGAAGAGGGAAACAACCCAGACCGCCAGCUAAGGUCCCAAAGUCAUGGUUAAGUGGGAAACGAUGUGGGAAGGCCCAGACAGCCAGGAUGUUGGCUUAGAAGCAGCCAUCAUUUAAAGAAAGCGUAAUAGCUCACUGGUCGAGUCGGCCUGCGCGGAAGAUGUAACGGGGCUAAACCAUGCACCGAAGCUGCGGCAGCGACACUAUGUGUUGUUGGGUAGGGGAGCGUUCUGUAAGCCUGUGAAGGUGUGCUGUGAGGCAUGCUGGAGGUAUCAGAAGUGCGAAUGCUGACAUAAGUAACGAUAAAGCGGGUGAAAAGCCCGCUCGCCGGAAGACCAAGGGUUCCUGUCCAACGUUAAUCGGGGCAGGGUGAGUCGACCCCUAAGGCGAGGCCGAAAGGCGUAGUCGAUGGGAAACAGGUUAAUAUUCCUGUACUUGGUGUUACUGCGAAGGGGGGACGGAGAAGGCUAUGUUGGCCGGGCGACGGUUGUCCCGGUUUAAGCGUGUAGGCUGGUUUUCCAGGCAAAUCCGGAAAAUCAAGGCUGAGGCGUGAUGACGAGGCACUACGGUGCUGAAGCAACAAAUGCCCUGCUUCCAGGAAAAGCCUCUAAGCAUCAGGUAACAUCAAAUCGUACCCCAAACCGACACAGGUGGUCAGGUAGAGAAUACCAAGGCGCUUGAGAGAACUCGGGUGAAGGAACUAGGCAAAAUGGUGCCGUAACUUCGGGAGAAGGCACGCUGAUAUGUAGGUGAAGUCCCUCGCGGAUGGAGCUGAAAUCAGUCGAAGAUACCAGCUGGCUGCAACUGUUUAUUAAAAACACAGCACUGUGCAAACACGAAAGUGGACGUAUACGGUGUGACGCCUGCCCGGUGCCGGAAGGUUAAUUGAUGGGGUUAGCCGCAAGGCGAAGCUCUUGAUCGAAGCCCCGGUAAACGGCGGCCGUAACUAUAACGGUCCUAAGGUAGCGAAAUUCCUUGUCGGGUAAGUUCCGACCUGCACGAAUGGCGUAAUGAUGGCCAGGCUGUCUCCACCCGAGACUCAGUGAAAUUGAACUCGCUGUGAAGAUGCAGUGUACCCGCGGCAAGACGGAAAGACCCCGUGAACCUUUACUAUAGCUUGACACUGAACAUUGAGCCUUGAUGUGUAGGAUAGGUGGGAGGCUUAGAAGUGUGGACGCCAGUCUGCAUGGAGCCGACCUUGAAAUACCACCCUUUAAUGUUUGAUGUUCUAACGUUGACCCGUAAUCCGGGUUGCGGACAGUGUCUGGUGGGUAGUUUGACUGGGGCGGUCUCCUCCUAAAGAGUAACGGAGGAGCACGAAGGUUGGCUAAUCCUGGUCGGACAUCAGGAGGUUAGUGCAAUGGCAUAAGCCAGCUUGACUGCGAGCGUGACGGCGCGAGCAGGUGCGAAAGCAGGUCAUAGUGAUCCGGUGGUUCUGAAUGGAAGGGCCAUCGCUCAACGGAUAAAAGGUACUCCGGGGAUAACAGGCUGAUACCGCCCAAGAGUUCAUAUCGACGGCGGUGUUUGGCACCUCGAUGUCGGCUCAUCACAUCCUGGGGCUGAAGUAGGUCCCAAGGGUAUGGCUGUUCGCCAUUUAAAGUGGUACGCGAGCUGGGUUUAGAACGUCGUGAGACAGUUCGGUCCCUAUCUGCCGUGGGCGCUGGAGAACUGAGGGGGGCUGCUCCUAGUACGAGAGGACCGGAGUGGACGCAUCACUGGUGUUCGGGUUGUCAUGCCAAUGGCACUGCCCGGUAGCUAAAUGCGGAAGAGAUAAGUGCUGAAAGCAUCUAAGCACGAAACUUGCCCCGAGAUGAGUUCUCCCUGACUCCUUGAGAGUCCUGAAGGAACGUUGAAGACGACGACGUUGAUAGGCCGGGUGUGUAAGCGCAGCGAUGCGUUGAGCUAACCGGUACUAAUGAACCGUGAGGCUUAACCUUACAACGCCGAAGGUGUUU
rnacentral:rRNA from 1 species